rnacentral:rRNA from 1 species
UACGAAGGGGGCUAGCGUUGCUCGGAAUCACUGGGCGUAAAGGGUGCGUAGGCGGGUCUUUAAGUCAGGGGUGAAAUCCUGGAGCUCAACUCCAGAACUGCCUUUGAUACUGAAGAUCUUGAGUUCGGGAGAGGUGAGUGGAACUGCGAGUGUAGAGGUGAAAUUCGUAGAUAUUCGCAAGAACACCAGUGGCGAAGGCGAGUCCCUGGACAACUCCUGACACUGAGGCACGAAAGCUAGGGGAGCAAACAGG